rnacentral:rRNA from 1 species
UACGUAGGUGGCAAGCGUUGUCCGGAAUUAUUGGGCGUAAAGCGCGCGCAGGCGGCCUUUUAAGUCUGGUGUGAAAGCCCCCGGCUCAACCGGGGAAGGUCAUUGGAAACUGAGAGGCUUGAGUACAGAAGAGGAAAGCGGAAUUCCACGUGUAGCGGUGAAAUGCGUAGAGAUGUGGAGGAACACCAGUGGCGAAGGCGGCUUUCUGGUCUGUAACUGACGCUGAGGCGCGAAAGCGUGGGGAGCAAACAGG